UUUUAUGAGGGAUUGCUACCAAUGGAAAGAAACAUUUUAGAUGUUUCUAGUGGUAGAGAAUUUGUUGAUAAGACUCCAGCUACUUCCAAAUCCUUGAUUGAGAAUAUGUCACUUAACUCUUAACAGUUCCUAACAAGAGAUGAUUAUGUGGUCCAAGCAAAAGGUGUGAAUGAGAUUUAUGUUUCUUCUUCCAACAAAGCUCUAGAAACCAGAAUUGAUGAACUUACCUCUUUAGUGAAAC
rnacentral:lncRNA from 1 species